GAUCUCUUGUUAAACAAGGAAAAGAUCAUGCCGGAAAUCAAUGGGGCGGAUAUAAACCGAUCCGCCUCAAUAAUUGUUCAUACUAUUUUCCUUCGUUUCUACUCGUAGCAAUUAUUACCUUCCACGGUUAUAUAAAUAAAAGGGUAGCCAUAUUAUUGUUUCUGCUAUUACAAGUCAAACAGAACAUCCUCUUUCCCAUCAUCAACUCAAUGCCACCGUUAGCCAAGAUGAGGACCGCCCUGCUGUGCGUGACUCUAAUCUUGCUCAUGCUAUCAUCAUCAUCAGAUGCUAGACCCGGAGAAUCUUGCUUUGGAAGAUAUGUUGGGACGCGUGAUCCAUGCAAUUCCACCAACUGUGACGAUUCAUGCCACGUUGAGAACAAGGAUGAACCUCUUUGUCAGGGGAGGUGCUCCCAGGUGGCCAAAUGCCGUCCAAUCGGGUGCCACUGCGACUUCUGCAGGUUCCCUUGAUGCACGUAGAUUUAAGAUAGAUAGAAGGGCACGUUUACAAUGAAUAACGACGCAUCAAACUCUACCAGCUCGAAGGUUGUUAAGAACUUGAAUUUUGUAUUCUAGCAAAAGUUGUGUGAAAUUACGAAGUGAGAUUUCCUUUUUCUUUUU